CCUUGCUUGAUUCACCUCAUCCAGCACAUUCAUUACCUUGGUCAAUGAGAAUUAAGCCCUUACCUAAGCUAGAAAUUGAACCUUUAUAUCCUUCAAUUCAGGCCCCACCAUAACUUGAACUAAAAUCUUUGCCUGAAUCACUUAAGUACAUAUUUUUAGGAUCUGAGAAAAUUCUAUCAAUAAUCAUUGCUUCUGACCGAACCCCUG
rnacentral:lncRNA from 1 species